AUUGAACGCUGGCGGAAUGCUUUACACAUGCAAGUCGAACGGCAGCACGGACUUCGGUCUGGUGGCGAGUGGCGAACGGGUGAGUAAUAUAUCGGAACGUAUCCAAUAAUGGGGGAUAACUCAUCGAAAGGUUGGCUAAUACCGCAUACGACCCACGGGAGAAAGCGAGGGACGUUCGGGCCUGGCGUUAAUGGAGCUGCCGAUAUCUGAGUAGCUAGUUGGUGAGGUAACGGCUCACCAAGGCGACGAUCAGUAGCUGGUCUGAGAGGAGGACCCGCCACACUGGAACUGAGGCACGGUCCAGACUCCUACGGGAGGCAGCAGUGGGGAAUUUUGGACAAUGGGCGCAAGCCUGAUCCAGCCAUUCCGCGUGAGCGAAGAAGGCCUUCGGGUUGUAAAGCUCUUUCGCAAGGGAAGAAAACUUAUCCUCUAACAUAGGGUGAGGUUGACGGUACCUUGAUAAGAAGCACCGGCUAACUACGUGCCAGCCGCCGCAGUAAUAC
rnacentral:rRNA from 1 species